rnacentral:rRNA from 1 species
UGGCUCAGAACGACGCUGGCGGCGCGUUUAAGCAUGCAAGUCGAGCGGCAAGGGCCUUCGGGCCCCUAGAGCGGCGGACGGGUGAGUAACACGUGGACAAUCUGCCCCCCGGCCCGGGAUAGCCCAGGGAAACCUGGAUUAAUACCGGAUGAGACGGGACCCGCGAUGGCGGGAUCCGGGAAAGGCGCUGCGGCGCCGCCGGGGGAUGAGUCUGCGUCCCAUUAGCUAGACGGCGGGGUAACGGCCCACCGUGGCGACGAUGGGUAGCCGGCCUGAGAGGGUGGACGGCCACAUUGGAACUGAGACACGGUCCAGACUCCUACGGGAGGCAGCAGCUAAGAAUCUUCCGCAAUGGGCGAAAGCCUGACGGAGCGACGCCCGCGUGAACGAAGAAGGCCGUGAGGUUGUAAAGUUCUUUUCGGGAGGGGGAACAACCGUGGCAGGGAAUGGCCGCGGGAUGACGUGAAUCCCGGAAUAAGCCCCGGCUAACUACGUGCCAGCAGCCGC